rnacentral:rRNA from 1 species
CAAACUCUGUUUCUAUAUGUAACUUCUGAGUAAAACCAUAAAUAAAUCAAAACUUUCAACAACGGAUCUCUUGGUUCUGGCAUCGAUGAAGAACGCAGCAAAAUGCGAUAAGUAAUGUGAAUUGCAGAAUUCAGUGAAUCAUCGAAUCUUUGAACGCACAUUGCGCCCGCCAGUAUUCUGGCGGGCAUGCCUGUUCGAGCGUCAUUUCAACCCUCAAGCCCAGCUUGGUGUUGGGACUCGCGAGUCAAAUCGCGUUCCCCAAAUUGAUUGGCGGUCACGUCGAGCUUCCAUAGCGUAGUAGUAAAACCCUCGUUACUGGUAAUCGUCGCGGCCACGCCGUUAAACCCCAACUUCUGAAUGUUGACCUCGGAUCAGGUAGGAAUACCCGCUGAACUUAAGCAAUCAGUAAAGCGGAGG